UUAAGUUCAGCGGGUAUCCCUACCUGAUCCGAGGUCAAAGACGGUGAAAGGAGCUUGCUGGAUCGCGGGCCGCCGACAGUGCUUCAAGCGCAAUGUGCUGCACGAGACUGGGGCAAAAAGACACCGCUGCCAAUGAAUUUGGGGCGAGUCCGCCGCGCGGAGGCGGGGACAGACGCCCAACACCAAGCAGAGCUUGAGGG
rnacentral:misc_RNA from 1 species